UACAGAGGUCUCAAGCGUUGUUCGGAUUCAUUGGGCGUAAAGGGUGCGUAGGUGGCGCGGUAGGUCGGGUGUGAAAUCUCGGAGCUUAACUCCGAAAUUGCAUUCGAUACUGCCGUGCUCGAGGACUGGAGAGGAGACUGGAAUUCAUGGUGUAGCAGUGAAAUGCGUAGAGAUCAUGAGGAAGACCAGUGGCGAAGGCGGGUCUCUGGACAGUUCCUGACACUGAGGCACGAAGGCCAGGGGAGCAAACGGG
rnacentral:rRNA from 1 species